GCAUUUUUUUCUAAAAGUUUUAAUAUUAAUUAUUAUAUAUGAAGGAAGGCCAAAAAAUUCUUAUCUUCAUCAUAACCCAGAUGUGCUAUGUAUUUGAAAUUUGAUUCUCCAACUUUUCUUUCUAUAUGUAUCCUAGGGCCACAUACAUCUCAAACUUAUGAAACAGUUGUUUAAUCCCAUCUUUGUAAAAGUGGAGACAGACCAGUUAUCCACAGCAAUAAUUACUUCCUCAUCAUUGAAAAAAAACUUCUCCAUAAAUGUUUUUUCAUAUUUCAAAACAGGAAGAAGUCUGAAAAUGCUAGGUUGGGAGAGUAUAGAUGUUCUAUAUAAAUAUGGCUUUCACAGCCAUAUUUAUAUAGAAAAGUGACUGUUUCUGCAGCUUAGUUAGCAACAAAACACUUUUUUACAGUAAAC
rnacentral:lncRNA from 1 species